GCCGAUGUAGCACAGGGGUAGUGCAUUCGAUUCGUAAUCGAAAGGUCGUGGGUUCAAAUCCCACCAUCGGCU
rnacentral:tRNA from 1 species